UCCAGGGGGCGAGGCAGCAAGUUCGGCCACCACUGGCCGGUCUGAAGGGCACAGAAGGUGAAGUGGGGCUUAGCGCCGGCCCAGCCACUGAUCAAAUGCCCUGCUCCGGCCCACAACGAUCGAUGGGAGACCACCGCGCCUCUGAUGGGCAGAAGAGGAUCCUGCCUCCUAUCAGAGCCUCCUUCCCCGACAAUCAGGCUGCUGUUGCGGCUAAAAUUCCUCGCCCUUCUUCACCGAAUGGAAGGAGGUGAAGCCCAGGCUGGAAUUCCCUGUCCCCGAGAAUGGGAUUGGGAGAGGUGCCCUUGAAUGCUCCCACCGCUGCGAGUCAUUCUUCCGAGGACCGUGUCCCCUCCAUCCGGUGCUGCCCCCACUCACAUUCCACGCCCACAGUGACGGUCCGGGAGUCCGUGCCAUGCGCAUUGGUGGCCACACAGUGUUUUGGUGAUGGAAGACAGCCACCAGGAAACCCUGCCGAAAGAAUGGGUCAGAUCAAUAAUCUGAGCGGUCCCAGUCCUCCUCCAAUGGCUGAUGGAUGAGGAAGGAAGUCACUCUGAAAACUCAGGUUUACACAACAUCUACUUGUACAAUCAAGCACACACUCUCAGGCUGCAUGAAGUACUGUCGCAGACAGGACUGCAAACCCUCUCAGGGCCCUGGGGUUCCCCUAAACCAGACCGUGAGCCUCUUGAGACGGCGGAUCCCCAACAGUGCCCAGAACCUGGGAAGGAGCUCAUCGUUCUCAAUGCAAUUAUCAAAAAUGACACUGAGAAGUUAUCUUUAUCCUCCUUGAUUCAAAAAUACAAUUUAUUUUAAAAACAAAAAGAGGGAAUGGAUGCAGAAGCCCGUCUGGGCUUUCCGUGGAGUCGCCCCUUCCCAAUGGCGAUGGCCGCUCCCUGUGGCCUCAGCUUCCUCCGUGGAAUGAAGGGGUCCAGGUGACACCUUCCUCGAAGGGUGGGCGUGGGCCUGAGGCUCCCAAGUCGGCCAGGGGCUCGGCCUGGCUCAGAAGAGGUGCUUCACAUCAACAGUGGUACGGGGUGGCCGCUGGGCCCUGGGUAGCGUGGGGUAGGGGUCGGGGGAAGUCGCUGUAGGGCAGGCUGAAGGGGUAGAGGGGUCUGUAACGUGAGUCCUGCCAGAGCAGCUUGUCCUCCAGGAAGGCGACGGUGGGCAGCGUCAGGACCAGCGUCUGGUGCUUGAGCAUGCUGUGCACAU
rnacentral:lncRNA from 1 species